UUUCCUGUGAAUGUUUAUUAAGGAGAAAAGUAGAUUUACAUAAGCAAGAAAAGAAAACAAAGCCUUGAAAUCAUUUGACAAGAAAUCCACAAGCGACAGCUAAAAUUGAAAAGGAAAUACUUGCAAGUCCAUUUUAAACAUGUAUUACUGUCACAUUCAGAAGCAAAAAAAAGGUAACUACUGUCUUAAGCCAACUCGAACAAGACACCCAUUUAGAAAAUCCCAGUGAGAAGAUUAGCGGCAGUGGAGAUAGCUGCUCCUGUGAUAGCACAUUGCACAAUAUGUUCAUGGGUGGAAUCAUCCAAUGUAAGGGCAAGGGUCGCCCCUGUGAUUGCUCCCGCAACUGCGCUAUUUUUCUGCAUCAAAUAUAGUAAGUUAUGACGUUAUUAUUGUUGUGCAUGUUGUAUUAUCAAUAUAGUGAACACUAGAAAGUAAAGUCAGAUCACAGCACUAUGCUGAAAGCAAUAAAAAAAAAAGGCAAUAAAAAGUGAAACAGAAAAGCGUUUUUUUGUCAUUCACUGAAAUUAGGGAGAGAAUGAAAAUUAUAGAGUUGAAAAUGGUUCACAAGAAUGGAUCAAAACAUCCCAAAAGUAGCUACUGUUUUUCCAGCAAUGAGACAGAUGUGCUGAUCUGCCACACUGGUUCAAAUACUAAAGUAUUGAAGUUGAGAUGUGAAAUAUGAAAACAAUUAAUAAAAAUAACCAGGAGAGAAAAAAGGUGCUACCCAGUCAUGAGCUCCACGAGCUUCCUUCAAC
rnacentral:lncRNA from 1 species